rnacentral:lncRNA from 13 species
GGUGUAAAAUAUCUAGGUUCUGUGAAGAUCCUCAGUGGUGUCAAAUAUCUAGGUUCUGUGAAGAUCCUCAGUGGUGUAAAAAUAUCUAGGUUCUGUGAAGAUCCUCAGUGGUGCUUUGACAAAUCCAUUGAUGUUGGAUUAGGUGGGGAUUGGAUAGUGGAUCUGAAUACUUGCUGAUCACCAGCAUUUUGUCCAGAGAGUGCACAGCUGAAUCACUGCUUUCUCUUUAAUGAGCACUUAGUAUAAUGUACAGGAUUGUCUUUAUAGCUUUAUGGGGAUCAUUAGACUGAAUGCUUUGGUUUUAAAUGAAUUAAACAUUCUACAUUGUUGUUCGGAGGCGCCACAGACUGCAGAUUUAAAACCGGUUGUGUACUAACUCAUCUUGGCACUGGCACAGCUCCAGAACUCAUAGCGUGGGACAGUCUCUCAUUUAGCAGUUUCUCCAUGCACUCUCAGCACAGACAGACCGGUGGAAAUACUACGGUGCGCGCACAAACACACACACUCUAGUCUACACACAUUCCACACACACUUGCAGACGCUUGUGUUACGCGGACUCGACUAGAUACAGUAGCAGCUGGCGCUGCGAACUCAAGUCAACAAGAGGAAACAUCCACGAGUCGUGACAUCCUCGGAGUCGGCUCCGUUUACACAUCCGUACUCCACUGGCAUACUCAGACAGACAAGGACCCUUUCGGGACAGCUUCAGUUUUACUGUCUACCUUUGCCAACUUUUUAUAAACCAAGAAGGAUCGAAACACAGAUUUUGAUAUAAUUUUUCAGUGCGUGUUGGAGCGCCUAUAUAUUAUCUUUGUGGCAUGUUGUAGCGCACCGCCAGAGGAAGACAGCGACCAUACACAUGCUGGCUGGACACCGGUCCCUAGGUCAAGUUCAGUCUCUGACCCCCACCCCUCACCUUUGACCCCUCACCUCGGAUGGAAGAACGCACCCAUUCCUUUAGGAGGUGAGAGACCACAAGUCACUGCCCCUCUCUCCGUGCACACACAGACACACACACACACNNNNNNNNNNNNNNNNNNNNNNNNNNNNNNNNNNNNNNNNNNNNNNNNNNNNNNNNNNNNNNNNNNNNNNNNNNNNNNNNNNNNNNNNNNNNNNNNNNNNGUGUGUGUGUGUGUGUGUGUGUGUGUGUGUGUGUGUGUGUGUGUGUGUGUGUGUGUGUGUGUGUGCGUGUGUGUGCGUAUAUGUGCGUGUGUUGUUCUUUGUUUAAGCUAUCCUAAGCAACGUUUAUCAUAAUUUAUCAUCACAUAAUAAUCAUUUUUAUAAUCUCACUCCAUUCACACAUUGAUCCAUAGUAAAGAAAGCACUAUGAAUGUAAUGUUAAGUGAUGAUUGAGGUGGUUGAACGGAGCGGAAAUUAGAGUUUCAAUUCGUCUUUUUUCUUUGCUGUUGAAUAACUGCUCUUUUCCGGUGGUAUUUUCUCUCCGGGUAUAUCCCCUCUUCCUUUCAGGCUCGCUGAAGUGUGAAGUGGUUUCUUUUCCCAGGAAACUAUCGGGUGGGUUAAAGGAAGGGAGGAAGCAGUAGUUAUGAAUAUGCUAAUGAGAGAGGUGCUUCCAGUAGAAAUAUGCAUGACAUUAAAAUAAAAAGAGGUGGGGAGAAAUGUGAUAGUUGAGGCAGCCAGCCUUAUUAGGUGAAUUCCACCUUCAUCAUUUUAUGCGCAUACAUUUGUCUCUUUCUCAGCAGCAAAAUGUUUCACUUUAUAAGCUUUUGGCACGUUCUCUAAUUAUGCCCCCACCCCUUGUACACAAAGCUAUUUUGCUCCCAACCAAAUUUGAGAACCCCCUCCCCCCCUUCCACCCCGUUCCCCACCAAAUAACACAAGAUGGCUGAGAAAAAGAAGCUUAACUUAAAAACUCUCCCCUGGCUUUCCAGUGGUGUCUGGCACCUGGAGUCUCUCUAUUAACCCUGUGUAGAGAGCUUGUCUCAGCCUCAGUCACAGAGCUGCUGUCAACUAAAAACAAACCUGUUUCUCUCUCAAACGAGAGACUGGAGAACAACAUAGAGAGGC